rnacentral:rRNA from 1 species
UACGUAGGUGGCAAGCGUUGUCCGGAUUUACUGGGCGUAAAGGAUGCGUAGGCGGACAUUUAAGUCAGAUGUGAAAUACCCGAGCUUAACUUGGGUGCUGCAUUUGAAACUGGGUGUCUAGAGUGCAGGAGAGGUAAGUGGAAUUCCUAGUGUAGCGGUGAAAUGCGUAGAGAUUAGGAAGAACACCAGUGGCGAAGGCGACUUAUUGGACUGUAACUGACGCUGAGGCAUGAAAGCGUGGGGAGCAAACAGG